GAUCAGGCUCAGAUUGAACGCUGGCGGCAGGCUUAACACAUGCAAGUCGAGCGGAGAUGAGGUGCUUGCACCUUAUCUUAGCGGCGGACGGGUGAGUAAUGCUUAGGAAUCUGCCUAUUAGUGGGGGACAACAUUCCGAAAGGAAUGCUAAUACCGCAUACGUCCUACGGGAGAAAGCAGGGGAUCUUCGGACCUUGCGCUAAUAGAUGAGCCUAAGUCGGAUUAGCUAGUUGG
rnacentral:rRNA from 1 species